AGUCCCUAGGAAAGUGGUAUUCCGUCAGCCUCCGACUGAUUUCAGGAUCAGAUGAAAGCUGGAGAUCGUGGGUUCGACCCCCACGGGGACUG